UUGUCUGCCUUCACCGCCAGGCCAGGCCUUUGAUUAUUUGUAAUUUUGUAAUUAAUUAAUUAAUUUGACUGCACCGGGUCUUAGUGUGUGGUUCACGGGACCUUUGAUCGUCAUUGUGUCAUGCGGGCUCUUUUGUUUAUAGCUGCAGCAUGUGAUGUCUCAGUUGUGGCGUGUGGGAUCUCCAUCCCCGGCCAGGGAUCAAACCCUGGGUCCCUGGCAUUGGGAGUUCCGAGUCUUGGAGUCUUAGCCAUUGGACCACCAGGGAAGCCCCCAGGCCAGGCCAGGCCUUUCUUGUCAUGCUUUCUACCCAGAGAUGAGACUAAAUAGGCCCAUUUGCUCUGCCCGAGCUCCUACUUAGGAACAGGCUAACUUCAUUCUCUUAACACCCAGUAAGGAAAAUUCAGUGAAAAUCUCCAUUUCAAAGGGAAGGAAAGGGACACAGAGCAGUGAACAUGAUGAGAGAUGGGUUGGGGAAGCACGAUUUAAACCAGGUCUCUGUGGCCCCAGCAUCUUGAUUGCUGCACCACGGACCUGGAAGGGAUGCUCAUCAGUCCCAGAGACGGUCGGCCUUCCCUCUCGGCUCUCAUCCUAGCCACUUCCUGGGAAGGAAUCAUUUAGAUGGGGAAACUAGGGCACAGGAGAGGCAAGGUCACGUGCCUGAGUCUGCGCUCUUGCUCGGGUGCUCUUCGGCAGGCCAGGGAGGGUGGAGCAGACGGAGAGAAGACUGCCUUGCAGCAGGGCUGAGUUAGAUUUAAGAGAGGCUUGGGAAGAGCAAGUGAAUUUUGCAGACAAGAGGGAAACAGAGAUGCUGAGCUGGGAUGGGAAGGGACUUGCCCAAGGUCACAUAGCCUCCCAGUCACACAGUUUUGAGCUGCAAGUCCCUCCUGGGUCAGCAGACAGCUCCUGGGCUCCACCCCACCCCCAGGGGUGAAUGCAGGCCAGCUUCCUGGAGGCCGGCCUGCACCUCCUGCUUCCUCCCCACCCUGGGGCCUUGGCAGCUGCUGGAAUCCUUGGCACCAGGCAGCAUAGCCCAUUUGGGGCUUGGGCCAAGACUUAAUCUUCCCCUUUCUCCCUCCUGCUGGGUCUGCACGCAUGCCGACGCUGAGUCAGAAGAUUGCAACAUUCUCCCCAGGCCACCUGAUGCGAAGAACUGACUCAUUUGAAAAGACCCUGAUGCUGGGAAAGAUUGAAGGCAGGAGGAGAAGGGGAUGACAGAGGAUGAGAUGGUUGGAUGGCAUCACUGACUCUGUGAACACGGGUUUGAGCAAACUCCGGGAGAUGGUGAAGGACAGGGAAGCCCUGUGUGCUGCAGUCCAUGGGGUCGCAAAGAGUUGGACACAACUUAGCGACUGAACAACAACAACUCUAAGUAUCUGCUUUCUGGGGGACCCUGUCUCGACAAUGGGUUUUGGAGUUAAGAUGACCUGAGUGUGAGUAUCAGCUCUGCCUGAGUGGCUUUGGAGUAGCAUGUGAUCUCUCUGGGUGUCAGUAUCCCCCUCUGAGUCAUCAUGGUGGUAAUAAUAUGAUGGCUGAGUGGAUCCAGUGAAUUUUCCUAGGGCCUUUGGCACAGUUGCCGACGUCAUCCUCACCUGUAAGGAGUGAGACAAAUCGAAUCUGGGUCUACCUUCUACUCUGCCAGUUUCCAACCCCGUGGCCGCUGCCAAAUGCUUUGCCCUCUGAGCCUGGUCUAGUCGUCCUUCGGGUCCUGCCCUCCUCCAUCAGACUAGCUUGCUGAGUGGUGUCGCUUGAACCAGCCAUCUCACUGGGAACACUUAAUGAGACUGAAUCUUGUCCCCAGUAUUGAAGUGUGUGGGUGCUAAGUCGCCUCAAUCAUGUCCGACUCUGUGGAUUGUAGCCUGCUAGGCUCCUUGUCCAUGGGAUUGCCCAGGCACGAAUACGGGAGUGGAUUGUCAUGCCCUCCUCCAGUAUUGAAGUACAAGCUAUAAAUUCCCCAGGAGGAAACGGGGUGUCUGCCUCCCCAUCAGUCUACACCUUUCCCCAGAUGAGGCGACCCUCCCCACAGUGAACUGGGAGCCACCCCGCCUUCUCGAGCCCACCUCCCCAGGGCAGAGCACAGAGGCCGCCUCAGACGAAGGGACAGCACCUUCCCUGAAAAGCUGGCCUUUUCCCUGGAAGUCGGUGCCUCCCCAGCCCGAGGCCACAACCUCCCCAUCAGCCACCGGGGCUUAGAAACACAGAUGCGAAAGUCCCCCAGGCUCUUGGGAAAGCAGGUCAGGCCAGACCCUCCCUUCCUCAUUUGAGUGGGGGGCCACGCUGGACUCACCUUCCCUGGCUCCAUCCGCCCGUCCCAGUCGGGGCCACCCCUGCCCCACCGCACUUUCCCACGAGAGUGAGGACCCGGCGGGCGUGUCUCUGCUACCCCGCCCGGAGGAAUCAGGUCGCUGGCUGCACCGCAGCCUCCCAGCUGCACAGCCCUGGGCAGGCUCAGUUUCCACAUCAGAAAGCCUGGGGGUGGCGCCAGGCGUCCUCGAAAGGUUGCGCCCCUCGACCCCUGGCUCUGGGCUGGCUGGUGAGAAGUGGGGCGCCCGGGACCUCUUACUGCCAGGCUCCGC
ensembl:lncRNA